GGGUUGUGAGGUUAAGCGACUAAGCGUACACGGUGGAUGCCCUGGCAGUCAGAGGCGAUGAAGGACGUGCUAAUCUGCGAUAAGCGCCGGUAAGGUGAUAUGAACCGUUAUAACCGGCGAUUUCCGAAUGGGGAAACCCAGUGUGAUUCGUCACACUAUCAUUAACUGAAUCCAUAGGUUAAUGAGGCGAACCGGGGGAACUGAAACAUCUAAGUACCCCGAGGAAAAGAAAUCAACCGAGAUUCCCCCAGUAGCGGCGAGCGAACGGGGAGGAGCCCAGAGCCUGAAUCAGCAUGUGUGUUAGUGGAAGCGUCUGGAAAGGCGCGCGAUACAGGGUGACAGCCCCGUACACAAAAGCGCAUGUGCUGUGAGCUCGAUGAGUAGGGCGGGACACGUGGUAUCCUGUCUGAAUAUGGGGGGACCAUCCUCCAAGGCUAAAUACUCCUGACUGACCGAUAGUGAACCAGUACCGUGAGGGAAAGGCGAAAAGAACCCCGGCGAGGGGAGUGAAAAAGAACCUGAAACCGUGUACGUACAAGCAGUGGGAGCCUCUUUUAUGGGGUGACUGCGUACCUUUUGUAUAAUGGGUCAGCGACUUAUAUUCUGUAGCAAGGUUAACCGAAUAGGGGAGCCGGAGGGAAACCGAGUCUUAAUUGGGCGUUAAGUUGCAGGGUAUAGACCCGAAACCCGGUGAUCUAGCCAUGGGCAGGUUGAAGGUUGGGUAACACUAACUGGAGGACCGAACCGACUAAUGUUGAAAAAUUAGCGGAUGACCUGUGGCUGGGGGUGAAAGGCCAAUCAAACCGGGAGAUAGCUGGUUCUCCCCGAAAGCUAUUUAGGUAGCGCCUCGUGAAUUCAUCUCCGGGGGUAGAGCACUGUUUCGGCUAGGGGGCCAUCCCGGCUUACCAACCCGAUGCAAACUGCGAAUACCGGAGAAUGUUAUCACGGGAGACACACGGCGGGUGCUAACGUCCGUCGUGAAGAGGGAAACAACCCAGACCGCCAGCUAAGGUCCCAAAGUCAUGGUUAAGUGGGAAACGAUGUGGGAAGGCCCAGACAGCCAGGAUGUUGGCUUAGAAGCAGCCAUCAUUUAAAGAAAGCGUAAUAGCUCACUGGUCGAGUCGGCCUGCGCGGAAGAUGUAACGGGGCUAAACCAUGCACCGAAGCUGCGGCAGCGACGCUUAUGCGUUGUUGGGUAGGGGAGCGUUCUGUAAGCCUGCGAAGGUGGCCUGUGAGGGUUGCUGGAGGUAUCAGAAGUGCGAAUGCUGACAUAAGUAACGAUAAAGCGGGUGAAAAGCCCGCUCGCCGGAAGACCAAGGGUUCCUGUCCAACGUUAAUCGGGGCAGGGUGAGUCGACCCCUAAGGCGAGGCCGAAAGGCGUAGUCGAUGGGAAACGGGUUAAUAUUCCCGUACUUGGUGUUACUGCGAAGGGGGGACGGAGAAGGCUAUGUUGGCCGGGCGACGGUUGUCCCGGUUUAAGCGUGUAGGUGUGUGUUCCAGGUAAAUCCGGUUCACUUUAACACUGAGGCGUGACGACGAGGCACUACGGUGCUGAAGCAACAAAUGCCCUGCUUCCAGGAAAAGCCUCUAAGCAUCAGGUAACAUCAAAUCGUACCCCAAACCGACACAGGUGGUCAGGUAGAGAAUACCAAGGCGCUUGAGAGAACUCGGGUGAAGGAACUAGGCAAAAUGGUGCCGUAACUUCGGGAGAAGGCACGCUGACACGUAGGUGAAGUGAUUUACUCAUGGAGCUGAAGUCAGUCGAAGAUACCAGCUGGCUGCAACUGUUUAUUAAAAACACAGCACUGUGCAAACACGAAAGUGGACGUAUACGGUGUGACGCCUGCCCGGUGCCGGAAGGUUAAUUGAUGGGGUCAGCGCAAGCGAAGCUCCUGAUCGAAGCCCCGGUAAACGGCGGCCGUAACUAUAACGGUCCUAAGGUAGCGAAAUUCCUUGUCGGGUAAGUUCCGACCUGCACGAAUGGCGUAAUGAUGGCCAGGCUGUCUCCACCCGAGACUCAGUGAAAUUGAACUCGCUGUGAAGAUGCAGUGUACCCGCGGCAAGACGGAAAGACCCCGUGAACCUUUACUAUAGCUUGACACUGAACAUUGAGCCUUGAUGUGUAGGAUAGGUGGGAGGCUUUGAAGCGUGGACGCCAGUCUGCGUGGAGCCGACCUUGAAAUACCACCCUUUAAUGUUUGAUGUUCUAACGUGGACCCGUGAUCCGGGUUGCGGACAGUGUCUGGUGGGUAGUUUGACUGGGGCGGUCUCCUCCUAAAGAGUAACGGAGGAGCACGAAGGUUGGCUAAUCCUGGUCGGACAUCAGGAGGUUAGUGCAAUGGCAUAAGCCAGCUUGACUGCGAGCGUGACGGCGCGAGCAGGUGCGAAAGCAGGUCAUAGUGAUCCGGUGGUUCUGAAUGGAAGGGCCAUCGCUCAACGGAUAAAAGGUACUCCGGGGAUAACAGGCUGAUACCGCCCAAGAGUUCAUAUCGACGGCGGUGUUUGGCACCUCGAUGUCGGCUCAUCACAUCCUGGGGCUGAAGUAGGUCCCAAGGGUAUGGCUGUUCGCCAUUUAAAGUGGUACGCGAGCUGGGUUUAGAACGUCGUGAGACAGUUCGGUCCCUAUCUGCCGUGGGCGCUGGAGAACUGAGGGGGGCUGCUCCUAGUACGAGAGGACCGGAGUGGACGCAUCACUGGUGUUCGGGUUGUCAUGCCAAUGGCACUGCCCGGUAGCUAAAUGCGGAAGAGAUAAGUGCUGAAAGCAUCUAAGCACGAAACUUGCCCCGAGAUGAGUUCUCCCUGAGACUUAGAGUCUCCUGAAGGAACGUUGAAGACGACGACGUUGAUAGGCCGGGUGUGUAAGCGCAGCGAUGCGUUGAGCUAACCGGUACUAAUGAACCGUGAGGCUUAACCUUACAACGCCGAAG
rnacentral:rRNA from 1 species